rnacentral:rRNA from 1 species
GACAGAGGGGGCAAGAGUUAUCCGGAAUUAUUGGGCGUAAAGCGUUCGUAGGAGGUUUGACAAGUCUGGGGUUAAAGCCUGGAGCCGAACUCCGGAUCGGCCCUGGAAACUGUCAGACUUGAGUAAGGUAGGGGUUGCGGGAAGUCCCGGGGUGGCGGUGAAAUGCGUAGAUAUCGGGAAGAACGCCAGCGGCGAAAGCGCGCAACUGGGCCAUUACUGACGCUGAGGGACGAAAGCUAGGGGAGCGAAUGGG